UGGGGAAUCUUGCGCAAUGGGCGAAAGCCUGACGCAGCGACGCCGCGUGAGUGAUGAAGGCCUUCGGGUUGUAAAGCUCUGUGGGGAGAGAAGAAUUAGUGCAGCCCAAUACGCUGCAUGAUGACGGUAUCUCCUUAGCAAGCACCAGCUAACUCUGUGCCAGCAGCCGCGGUAAGACAGAGGGUGCAAACGUUGUUCGGAAUUACUGGGCGUAAAGCGAGUGUAGGCGGUCUGAAAAGUCGGGUGUGAAAGCCCUGGGCUCAACCCAGGAAGUGCACUCGAAACUGCCAGGCUAGAGUAUCGGAGAGGUUGGUGGAAUUCUCGGUGUAGAGGUGAAAUUCGUAGAUAUCGAGAGGAACACCGGUGGCGAAGGCGGCCAACUGGACGAAUACUGACGCUGAGACUCGAAAGCGUGGGGAGCAAACAGGAUUAGAUACCCUGGUAGUCCACGCCGUAAACGAUGGGUGCUAGGUGUCGCGGG
rnacentral:rRNA from 1 species